CCAGCCAGAAGGAAAGGGCAGAGAGACACCAGCAAGCCUCAAAAAAAUAACCCUGCCCUCCCCGCCUGUGGCCUGAAGUCAUUGCGUUAGCCAGAACCCGGAGAAUUAAAAUCAAUUUGAUGUGUAGCUUUCUCUGGCUAAUGAGCUUUGAAGAGGAUUGAGAGUUUAACGCUUCCAUUUUCUCAGCAAGAAGGUGAUCUGGGCAGGCAGGGGCAGCCCCAGAAGAUCUGAGCUCAACUGAAAAGGCAGUUCAUAAGAGAGCAAGGCAGCACCAGCCUGUGUCUAAGAGGGACAUUCCUGAAAUCCUAGCUGCCUCCUAACAUCGGAAUGUCUGUGCUCUGCUCAAAGUCUGCACUUUGAACAGUUCGAGCUGAGGAGAUGAUUGAGCAUCCUAACUGUCCACGCCCCACUGCAAAGAAUUGGUCAUUUCAUUUCAGGCCAAAGUGAACCCAGGCACAGCAUGGACCCCAAGAGGGACCUGCAAACAGGGCCACCCCCGCCGUUCCAGAAUGAACCCAGAAUCAGCUCCUCUCGCCCCUCUGGGCUGAGGUUUUGCCAGGUGCCUGGUGGGAGCCACCCUGCCUGUUAAUAUUUGUAACUUGGGCUGUAUUAAUUUUUUCUUGAAAUAAACAUCCUGGCACUCACAUGUGUGGGAAUAUAUGGUCAUAAUAAAGAGCUCAACUUUUAAAUAACUUGGUCUUUGUUUGCAAUCUUUGGUCUAGUGCUUCCCUUUCUAGGAGUUUACCUGAACAAAGGGUCAGACAUUCAAAGGUUCGUGUACAAAGAUGUGUCAUUUACCCUUAGUAGUGAAGGGGAAAAAAAA
rnacentral:lncRNA from 1 species